rnacentral:lncRNA from 2 species
AUGAGAUUCUUCCUCUGGCGUAAUGGUAGCCCUAAUUGGGAAUUUGAGCUUAGGAGUUGGGAGCUAGAACAGAGUAAGGAAUGGAUUGUUGUUAGCCGAAAGGGUAAAUCCACCUCUGUUAAGGCCAAUGUUCCUAUUGCGCGUGUUUUCAAUCGGUUUCAUGUUCUUCGUUCUAAUGAUCCUAAGUCGGCGACCUCCGCCGCUAAGAAACUUUCCGCCGCUAAGGAACCUUCCGCCGCUAAGAAACCUUCUGUUCAUCUUGAUCCGAAGUUAAGGCUUUUUUCGGAUUCAAAUUUGAGCUAUGAUCCUAAAUCUGCGUUCCUGGGCUCAAAAGUUUCUGAUCAUGCAAAGAUGGGCCGACCUAAUAUUGGCCUCAAGGCCCGUGGUGGCAUUAAACAGAAAACCCUUAGGGUUCGGAAAUGUUGGGUUAAAAAAUCGGCUCCUCAGUCUCCUCGUCUUCCUUCGCUUGACGCUGCAGGAAAAUCCUCUCACCCGGAGACGAUCUUGGUCACUUCAAUGGCGAAUCUUCAGCCAGACCCUCAGGGAUUGCACUUGCAUCCAGCUGGCCCUCAUCGUCGCCGCCGAGUUGAUACGGUAAACUUCACUCCUUCUACCAUGCGCCAUGAGCAGUUUGUUCUUGCCUUGGUUCAUCCACAGUUGCCUGUUGAUCAGUGGGAUGACCAUCGCAAUGAAAUUAGAGGUUUUUUGGAGCAAGUCAGGCAUGUUGAGGUUUUGGAGUCUUAUCCACAUCCGAAUGUGGUUGCCCUGGACUUGGACUCUGUUCCUCAGUUUGUUGUUUGGGAGCAGCCUAAUGUGCCCAAUGGUCAAUCUUGGACAAUAUAUGUUUACACUAUGAAUGGUGAGUUUGCAGAUGUGCUUCCACCUGAUGAUGAUAUUCCACCUGGUGAAUGUCCUGUUGAUCCCAAUAUUAAUCUUGAGGAUGCUCCUGCCUGGCAAUUUGGUAACCUGCAGCAGCAGAAUGAUAAUGCACCUGCCCAGGGUUGGGGAACUGGGAUGAGGGACAAGAUAAUCAGCUUCAGCCUGCAAUUCCUGAACCUCAGGAUUUCUUAUCCUUCUGCAAGUUCAGACAGUUCAGUUCCGUCCUUCAUAAGUAUCUCCAGUACAGAGGAAGAGGUUUUGAUUCAUGCCGAUAACAGGAUGGUUGUUCAUGAGGGGGUUGAAAAUACUAUGCAUGUUGACUCCCUUUGUCAGAGGUUCCCUCAGAUCAUGUUUGACAAUUCCUUUAUUAAAGAUGCUUCUUUU